GUUAAUCGCUAUUCUGACCAAUGAACUGGUUAUUCAUAUUAUGAUGUGCAUUUUUUUUUUCUUGUGAUUGUUUUAUAUCAUUGUUAUAAAUAGUACAAACAAAUUUUGAUAGGAAUAUUCUGUUUGUGUAUAAAUCAAAAUAUGAUCUAAAUAUUUUAUCUCAUGAUAAUUAUUCAAAAGAAAUCUUAAACGACGACAAAACUGUCAUGGAAUAGAUUUACUGACCACGUCACAAUUUGGCAAUCAGUUCAACUUCUUAAAACAAAGUCUGCCCAUGUCAAAAGUUAUAAAUCUCUUUUUGAAAUGAAUAUUCUUUGUAUUUCUAGUAACAUGUAUUUCCUGCUUUAAACAAAAUUGCAUUUUUUAUGUAAUAAAUUGAUAAUGUGUUAAAGGAAAAAAGUAUAAUAAACACACUGAAUGCAAGUACAACCAUGAUAAUUGUAACGGUACUCAACAAUGAUAUUGUAUUAGUAUCAUUUUCAUUUUAUAUGACUCGCCAUUUACUGAUUUUGUAACUGCUUACCAUCGCUUCGACUGAGUACCGGUAAUCGGUUAACCAGUAAGAAAUUUCCAUCCCUAAAAUGUUUUAUAGUCUAGAAAAAAUGGGAUAUUACUCCCAAUUUGUUUGUAAAAUUCAUGCAAUCAGUUAAAGUAUAGAAAGAUCUUUUUAUGCUUUAUUAUCAGAUUUUUUAACGGUGCUUAUUAUUAUGGUAAUACAUGUACUGACUUUCCUACAAAUCUACGUCUAACGGGAUCAAAAGAAUGGUAAAUUCAUCUCAAAUUGAAAACGGUUUUUGAAUACAUAUAAUUGUUUUUCUGGAACCAACUUAAAAACAUAAUAUGAAGUGCUAAACAUAAAAAGAUGAUAAAAUUGUAUUUGGUGGUCAAAGACAAUUAUUUCAGUCUUUAAACCGUAUUCUAUCCUGGACUUGGAGGACAGUAAACAUUCAAUACAUGGAAAAAUCCGUCUCAAAACAUUUUUUUAUUGCUUUUUAUUGAUAUGGGAAUAAUAUUAACAAAAAGUUCAUUCAAAGUAGAAAAUUGGUAAGAACAUUUUUUCUGAAAGAAUGAGCUUUAAAUGUAAGUCUGAAUUCUUUUUUUCUGUGUUUUGUCAGUAAAAACAAUAUUUAAAGUAAAUUACUGUGAUUUUUAUGUGUAUACUCAAAUAUGUAAAACUGUCAUAAAAUACAUUAAAUAUAUAUAUAUUUU
rnacentral:sRNA from 1 species